UAGAGGGAGUGUGCGAUGUUUGAUCACAUCAACCUUGGAAACACUUCCAACACACAUCGUCACCUUGCUUUUAGCUAGUCUCCAUUUAUUCUAUAGCUUUUAUUUCGAGUUACUAACACUUAGCAACUGAACCGGUAUCCAAUACCCUGGUGCUACUAGGAGUACUAGUAAAGUACACAUCAAUAUCAUGUAUAUCCAAUAU
rnacentral:lncRNA from 1 species